rnacentral:rRNA from 1 species
AUUGAACGCUGGCGGCAGGCCUAACACAUGCAAGUCGAACGGUAACAGGCAGAAGCUUGCUUCUUUGCUGACGAGUGGCGGACGGGUGAGUAAUGUCUGGGAAACUGCCUGAUGGAGGGGGAUAACUACUGGAAACGGUAGCUAAUACCGCAUAACGUCGCAAGACCAAAAAGGGGGACCUUCGGGCCUCUUGCCAUCGGAUGUGCCCAGAUGGGAUUAGCUAGUAGGUGGGGUAACGGCUCACCUAGGCGACGAUCCCUAGCUGGUCUGAGAGGAUGACCAGCCACACUGGAACUGAGACACGGUCCAGACUCCUACGGGAGGCAGCAGUGGGGAAUAUUGCACAAUGGGCGCAAGCCUGAUGCAGCCAUGCCGCGUGUAUGAAGAAGGCCUUCGGGUUGUAAAGUACUUUCAGCGGGGAGGAAGGGAGUAAAGUUAAUACCUUUGCUCAUUGACGUUACCCGCAGAAGAAGCACCGGCUAACUCCGUG